UGAUCUGAUUGAGAACGUGAA
rnacentral:piRNA from 1 species